UACGUAGGGUGCAAGCGUUGGCCGGAAUUAUUGGGCGUAAAGAGCUCGUAGGCGGUUUGUCACGUCGGAUGUGAAAUCCCGGGGCUUAACCUCGGGUCUGCAUUCGAUACGGGCUGACUAGAGUUCGGUAGGGGAGACUGGAAUUCCUGGUGUAGCGGUGAAAUGCGCAGAUAUCAGGAGGAACACCGGUGGCGAAGGCGGGUCUCUGGGCCGAUACUGACGCUGAGGAGCGAAAGCUGGGGGAGCGAACAGG
rnacentral:rRNA from 1 species